UUGACUUGCUUGGAUUAUGAUGGUUUGUGAAAAAUUAACAGAGCUUUUAAACUGAAGGGUUGCAACAAGAACUGAGUUUUUGUGUUUGGGUUCUUUCCUCAGCUGAAAUGAACAGCAUCCAACCUGAUACAAAUAGGCUGCAUCACUUAAGCAUUAUAUGAAACAAAAAAAUGCAACGUCAUCAUCAGGUGGACAAGGAUGCUGUCUGAGGAACUGCUCAGUUAAGAAGUCCUAUUCUCAGUCACUUUGACUGAUUUCCAGAUGAGCUUCUGCUUGAUGGCUCUUUAGUUGCAAACUACUUAAAGGCACAACAGUACAGGCUUGCUGUGAGGUGGGGAUGGUUCAUGAAGGCAGCAGCAAAGGUUUAACCAGUCUCUGAGACUGCUCUGCACUCGCUGGUUUUGCUUCUGUUUGGAUUAUAAUGUCAAAGGACAUGAAUACCAAAGCACACACAGUCAAAAGAAGUUAGAGGAUUGAAGAUUUGACUGCUUGAGGAGGGAAUAAUGGAGCUUAGUUACCUGAAACGCAAGCUAGAUGGUGCUAGAGCACACAAUUAUAUGAUCAGCUAACAGCUGUGUGAAAUUAAAAUAUAAUAUUAAAAAGGAGCUAGAAUAAGAGAAGCUCUUCAGAGUUAAAGGCCUUCUAACAUCUGAAUUUGCCUUUAAUAUUUUUUCUGACUGUGUAGAAGUGGCUUCUGCUUUCCCGACCUUCUCAUAAAGCCUUGCCAAAAGGUACAGAAACCCGCCUAUGGUGUUCUCACAUUGAGCAGAUGAAUGCAGAUGAUCUUGCUUUGUUAUUGAUUUGAAAUGAGGAGACACUCAUUUGGACAGAAAUCCUGUAUGUGCUCUGACUGCACACUCAGCAACUCUGAAUUGGUGCAGCUUUGUUGGCAUGGGGCAGAUACACCAACGUGUUGGUGGAGAGGUGAGAUUUGAUUGAUAGAGCUCUGGGUGGUAAGUCAGGAGAUGCAUCUUUCUGGCCUUUCCCUUGACUUGCUCUUUGGUCUUCUGCAGGACUUUGUUUCUCCUUUCCUUCACUUACAGAUGGUGUGAAGACAUUCUCUGUGAUGUGUGUAUGACUCAGUGUAGCAGAAGGAGUAAAACUGGGAAAGCUGAAUAAGUUCAGUGCAU
ensembl:lncRNA